ACAGUGGCUCAGUUGGUAGAGCAUUGGCUUCCCAAGCCGAGGGUCGCGGGUUCGAGCCCCGUCUGU
rnacentral:tRNA from 1 species